UAGGGAAUCUUCGGCAAUGGACGGAAGUCUGACCGAGCAACGCCGCGUGAGUGAAGAAGGUUUUCGGAUCGUAAAGCUCUGUUGUAAGAGAAGAACGAGUGUGAGAGUGGAAAGUUCACACUGUGACGGUAUCUUACCAGAAAGGGACGGCUAACUAUGUGCCAGCAGCCGCGGUAAUACGUAGGUCCCGAGCGUUGUCCGGAUUUAUUGGGCGUAAAGCGAGCGCAGGCGGUUAGAUAAGUCUGAAGUUAAAGGCUGUGGCUUAACCAUAGUAGGCUUUGGAAACUGUUUAACUUGAGUGCAAGAGGGGAGAGUGGAAUUCCAUGUGCAGCGGUGAAAUGCGUAGAUAUAUGGAGGAACACCGGUGGCGAAAGCGGCUCUCUGGCUUGUAACUGACGCUGAGGCUCGAAAGCGUGGGGAGCAAACAGGAUUAGAUACCCUGGUAGUCCACGCUGUAAACGAUGAGUGCUAGGUGUUAGACCCUUUCCGGGGUUUAGUGCCGUAGCUAACGCAUUAAGCACUCCGCCUGGGGAGUACGACCGCAAGGUUG
rnacentral:rRNA from 1 species